GAUGAACGCUAGCGGCAGGCCUAAUACAUGCAAGUCGAACGGGAUUGCGGUGUAGCUUGCUACACUGCAUGAGAGUGGCGCACGGGAGCGUAACGCGUGAGCAACCUACCCAUAUCAGGGGGAUAGCCCGGAGAAAUCCGGAUUAACACCGCAUGGGACAGUAUUACCGCAUGGUAUAGCUGUUAAAUAUUUAUAGGAUAUGGAUGGGCUCGCGUGACCUUAGCUAGUUGGGGGGGUAACGGCCCACCAAGGCGACGAUGUCUAGGGGCUCUGAGAAGAGAAUCCCCCAAAAUGGUACUGAGAAACGGACCCGACUCCUACGGGAGGCAGCAUUAAGGAAUAUUGGUAAAUGGGCGGAAGCCUGAACCAGCCAUGCCGCGUGCAGGACGACUGCCCUACGGGUUGUAAACUGCUUUUGUACGGUAAUAACCCUCUCUACGAGUAGAGAGCUGAACGUACCGUAAGAAUAAGGAUCAGCUAACUCCGUGCCAGCAGCCGCCGCCG
rnacentral:rRNA from 1 species